rnacentral:rRNA from 1 species
UUGGGUAACACUAACUGGAGGACCGAACCGACUAAUGUUGAAAAAUUAGCGGAUGACCUGUGGCUGGGGGUGAAAGGCCAAUCAAACCGGGAGAUAGCUGGUUCUCCCCGAAAGCUAUUUAGGUAGCGCCUCGUGAAUUCAUCUCCGGGGGUAGAGCACUGUUUCGGCUAGGGGGCCAUCCCGGCUUACCAACCCGAUGCAAACUGCGAAUACCGGAGAAUGUUAUCACGGGAGACACACGGCGGGUGCUAACGUCCGUCGUGAAGAGGGAAACAACCCAGACCGCCAGCUAAGGUCCCAAAGUCAUGGUUAAGUGGGAAACGAUGUGGGAAGGCCCAGACAGCCAGGAUGUUGGCUUAGAAGCAGCCAUCAUUUAAAGAAAGCGUAAUAGCUCACUGGUCGAGUCGGCCUGCGCGGAAGAUGUAACGGGGCUAAACCAUGCACCGAAGCUGCGGCAGCGACACUCAGGUGUUGUUGGGUAGGGGAGCGUUCUGUAAGCCUGCGAAGGUGUGUCGUGAGGCAUGCUGGAGGUAUCAGAAGUGCGAAUGCUGACAUAAGUAACGAUAAAGCGGGUGAAAAGCCCGCUCGCCGGAAGACCAAGGGUUCCUGUCCAACGUUAAUCGGGGCAGGGUGAGUCGACCCCUAAGGCGAGGCCGAAAGGCGUAGUCGAUGGGAAACGGGUUAAUAUUCCCGUACUUGGUGUUACUGCGAAGGGGGGACGGAGAAGGCUAUGUUGGCCGGGCGACGGUUGUCCCGGUUUAAGCGUGUAGGUGUGUGUUCCAGGUAAAUCCGGUU